rnacentral:lncRNA from 1 species
AGCAAGUAAAUUAUAUAGCAAAUCAAAGGAGAUAUAUCUUAAAGAUCAAAUUCUCUGUUCUAAUAUACAUGUAAUGGGUUAAGGUAUUUUAAAAACUUAUUUCCAUUGAUAUUUAUGUUUUCCCUUUAUGUUUCUCACCAAGUAAAAAACAAAAUUCAAAUGAACAGAGUGAUUUUUAAAGAUACAUGUAUAAUGGCAGAUUUAUUAGACUAGACCUUGAAAAAUGCAGAAUUUGGUUAAGAACAUUACAACAAGGAUCAUGAGUGUUUUUUGAAAAGAUACAUUUUAGAAUUCAUUUUUAAAUCUAUUUUGAAAAAUUACUUUGUUUUCGCUAAAAAUAUUAACCUUACAACUGAACUAUGUGAUUGAAAUGUAAUGUAAAC